rnacentral:rRNA from 3 species
UAUGGCUCAGAUUGAACGCUGGCGGCAGGCCUAACACAUGCAAGUCGAGCGGAUGACGGGAGCUUGCUCCUUGAUUCAGCGGCGGACGGGUGAGUAAUGCCUAGGAAUCUGCCUGGUAGUGGGGGACAACGUUUCGAAAGGAACGCUAAUACCGCAUACGUCCUACGGGAGAAAGCAGGGGACCUUCGGGCCUUGCGCUAUCAGAUGAGCCUAGGUCGGAUUAGCUAGUUGGUGGGGUAAUGGCUCACCAAGGCGACGAUCCGUAACUGGUCUGAGAGGAUGAUCAGUCACACUGGAACUGAGACACGGUCCAGACUCCUACGGGAGGCAGCAGUGGGGAAUAUUGGACAAUGGGCGAAAGCCUGAUCCAGCCAUGCCGCGUGUGUGAAGAAGGUCUUCGGAUUGUAAAGCACUUUAAGUUGGGAGGAAGGGCAGUAAGYUAAUACCUUGCUGUUUUGACGUUACCGACAGAAUAAGCACCGGCUAACUCUGUGCCAGCAGCCGCGGUAAUACAGAGGGUGCAAGCGUUAAUCGGAAUUACUGGGCGUAAAGCGCGCGUAGGUGGUUUGUUAAGUUGGAUGUGAAAGCCCCGGGCUCAACCUGGGAACUGCAUCCAAAACUGGCAAGCUAGAGUACGGUAGAGGGUGGUGGAAUUUCCUGUGUAGCGGUGAAAUGCGUAGAUAUAGGAAGGAACACCAGUGGCGAAGGCGACCACCUGGACUGAUACUGACA